AUGUCUCAGGGAAAGCUAACACUCUUGGUGGUUGCUCUGUUUGUUUGGUCUGUCGCUGAAGGUCAGACAAUAACUGAGUCUGAACCAGCAGUCAGGAAACCCGGAGAAUCUCACAGACUCACCUGCACAACAUCUGGAUUCAACUUUGGAGGCUCACUAUGGAAAAGGAUACACACUCAGAGUACUCCUAUAUCUUAUUCUCAGUCGGUCCAGGGUAGAUUCACUAUCUCCAGAGAUGACUCCAGCAGUAAAGUGUAUCUGCAGAUGAACAGUCUGAAGGCCGAGGACACAGCAGUGUAUUACUGUGCCAGAGAGACACAGUGACACACAAA